CCAAAGAAAACUACAACUCCCGGAAGCCUCCAGAAUGCCAUCUCCAGUUUGCGAGGCAGUACGGGACUUGAAGGCUUAGGCCCUCGCGAUUGCUGCAGCCUGGGCUGACUCUUCUCGCCCGGUUACUGCCACCUGGUUCUAAAUCAGCACGUCCCCAAAGUGCCUGAGUAUAAGAAGUGUCUGCCAGGCUGAUUGAAAGUGUAGAAUAACAGGUGAAGAAACUGAGACACAGAGUUAGUUUAUUGCCCUAAUCACAAAGCUACAGGUGGAAGAGGAGGGUUUGAACUCAGGUUUCCUGAAUCCAAAUCUUGGUGAUGUUUAACCUAAGGUGUACUACAUCCUGAAAGCUAGCAGGCCUCAUACUCUAGAGUGGUAGAAGCCUCCCCGCUUCUCUCGGUCUCCUGCUGCCUCAUGCUGCUGCUUGAGUAGCGUGUACAGCUCCAUCAAGUGUUUCACAGUCAUGAACUGAUGCAGAGUUUACCGCUGCCCACCAGAGUCGGAGCCGUGCCUGACCAGGGCUCAGAGAAGAUUCCAGCAUCCUGAAGGCAAGAACCGGGUCUCAGUUUUCUUUGUUUCGUCAUGACUGCACAAGCUCGGGCACCAUGGCACUCAAAGGUGCCCACUUCUUCUCCCUGGAGGCAGCCAAUACUGUUAGUUCCCUGUAUAUUCCUCCAGAGAUGUUUUGUGCGCAUAAAGAGAAAUCUCACUGACCUAAGAUGGUUGGAGAAGGCCUUUCUGGAGAAUGAACAUUUUUGGUAAGAGUGGAGCAGAGAACAAGAUCCAGUUGGCUUGGCCAAACAUGGCACCAGGGAGCCGUGGAAGCCUCCUCAGCCGGGGAAUGAUGUUUCUGCGUCAUCAAACAUUUAUGACAAGACAGAGCAACACAGAGUGACUUGGAAUGAAUUCAACAGACCAAUAUUUUGAAAUCAGGGUGGAUUGACUUCCUUUAGAGAGAACAGUUCUCCCAUCUCUUCGAGGCAUCAUCCAGAGGAGGAAGAACAGCAAGGUUCCCAGUCCCAGAGAGCACAACUCUGGUCACACGUUCCAACUCACCGACCAUGAAGUAGCUUAACAGUCUUCUUCGAAUAAGUGAGAAGGAAGCUCCAUGUACCGAAGAGAGAGCCCUCCAGACCUGUGGUCAGACCUCGUUUCUCCUAUGACCUUAGGAGUCCCCACAGUAAAAGUGUUUCUGUAGCUGGGAGUUCACAGCUGCCGUAAAACCUAAAUGUCAGCAGCUCCCGUGGUGUUGGAUCACGUGCUACCCCACUUACAGCCAGCAGCCCUGACAUCGGGGCCAAGCAUCUCAGACACCAAGGCUCUACUGAGGAAGAAGUCAGCUGACCCAGGAUAAACCAAUCAGAAUCUCCCUAGAAGACACCCCCACACACAAGGGCAAGUUUUGUUACGUUUCUUUCUUCCUUCCUUUCUUUCUUUUUUCCUGUUUUGUGCACUCCUAAAUCCCAAGUGCCUAAGAUAAUGCCAGGCAUGUAGUAGGUUCUCAUUUUAUAUUGAACUUUAUCUUUCUCUGCAUUUGGAAUCAAGACUAGGCAACUGGUCUCUGCAAGACUGGCACUGAGAGACCCCUAACCCGGAAGCUAAGGCAGCCAGGAUCUGCCCCGAGGAUUGAGGACUGAACUGGGGGGAAAGGAGGAGGAGUAAGAAGCAGAAAGGAGACGGGUGGAGGCAGAGAGAGGCAAAACACGUCUCCAGAAUAGACCCCUGUGUCCUUAUGAAAAUAUUCCACCCUCCUUUCUCCUUGAGCUUGCUUGAGUGGGUCUUGAUAUUUAAAACCAAGUCAAUCUAACCAAAACAGCAUGUCUCCUUGAAGUCCUUCCCCAGAGGGAACGGUGCAAAUUCCUGUGAACUCUUGAAGUAUUUUUAGCAGCAUACGCUUGGAUAACUUUAGUCCUUGUCUGAUCUGUGCACUGAGGGAGGUAGGAAGGUGGGAUGGCACUCUGGAGCCUGACUGCCUGGCUCCCAAUCCUUGCUCCUGCCCAUCCAUCCUGCCACCUGGGUCAGGUGAGCUAACUUUUCCGAAACCUCAGUUUCUUCCUCUGCAAAAUGGAGGUGAUAAUGGCCACUACCUCCCUGUGUUAUUUUGAAAAUAUAAAGUGCUUUGCACUGUACUUAGCACAUGGUUAGCACUAAAUAAGUAAAAAUAAUGUAUCCAAUACACUGAACAAGCAGGAGUCUUAUAAAAGCAAUUUGAUUUUUGUCUCCUGUUUCACUUUAAACCUGUGCAUGGUCCGCAAUCUCUUCCUCCCCGAAGAAUGAGAUUCUGAGCAGCCCCAGGAGUUUUCUGAUCAGUGUUAGGUAGUAAAAGCUCCUGGGGUCGCUUUAAGUCAGAGACAGCUGCCUCAGUCCAUCACUUAUUUCUGCUCCCCUCUUUCCACGAGGGCCUCCUUCCGGAAGAAUACUGGGGGGUUGGUGUAUCUGCUCCUCCACUAUCUUGCUAACCUAUUUUCUGGUUCCCUCAAAGGUUACAUGGGAAUCGAGAAGGAAAAGGAGGGGACAGGAAAGUCCUCAAUUGUUUGGCACUGUCAAAGCCUGACUUUGCCCCCUCUGAGUCUGACAGAUACUUGAAGCUGACAGUUCUGCACCCAGAUUUUCUGGAGAUGCCUCUGCUGGACCACCUAUGAUAACAAAUUCAGGCUUUCCCUUUGGCCAGUCUGCACCCCACCCGCUCCAACUGGCCUCUCCCUUCAGGACAGGAUCCCCUUCAUAAUGACCCCAGACUGACAUUUUUAUUGCUGUACUGAAUGUAACAGCUCCCCAGCCCCCCCCAACACCUGGCCCCCAUUUCCCCUACCUCUGACCUGCCAUCAUAGGGCCGUGUCCCUUCUCUGCUGCCACCAGCCACUGCCGCUUCCUUGAGCACAAGUCAGACCUAGGCCCACCGCAUCCUCCAGCUUCAGGGUACACAAAACAAGCUCUCUGAGAGUCCCAGGGAGCGAGGGCUGAGGGUGAAAGCACAAAUGCCUUCUCCAAAGAAGGCCUCCCAAAAUCUUCCCCAGAGGUCAAUAACGUACCCCAUUUCUACUUUCCAAAGUGGUGAAGAGCUUUGAGAAGGGUUCGAUUGGUGUUUGGAAUUUUCUUUUGUAAAUUCUGCUCUUGGCUGGCCUUGCCCCUGCUGUGGAAUGCAGCAGCUGUCAGACUUUGGUGCCUCCGCUAGAACUUGGGUUUGAACCUCCUGUUAAUAAUAAAGCGACAUGUACGGCUGACCUUUACGUUCACAAAAUGUGAUCAGAUGCAUUUUCUCACCCAUUCCUUACAGCACCUCUGCCACACUGGCUAUUCUGCUCUCCCUGUUUUCCUGAUGAGGAAACUGAGGUCACAGAGAGGUCAAAAGCUUGAGAUUGAGACCCAUUUGGCGCUGCCUACCUGACUCCUUUCCACUGCAGCACACAGCAUAUCAGGGCUCAGUGCUGCCUGGCUGUGGUCCUUCCAUGGCCCCAGGACACUCGGGACCCAAGGGAUGUCCUAAGAGCCUGCCUGGAAAGGCAGUGGCUUUCUGAAUCCAGAGCUAAAACACAGACGGGAGACCUCCUUGAAGGAGAUCAAGGCAGGCAGCCCUGUGACUGGCAGCUGGGUUCAGAGAAGCAGCCAAAGAAAAGCCUUGCUUCCUUUGCACAUAAAGCCUCCAUUCUCAGCCAUCACACUGGCACAGACACUCACAGACCAGAGCCUCAAAGGACCAGACAAUGAAACAGACACAGGCAAG